rnacentral:lncRNA from 1 species
CUUGUUACUACCUUGUGAAUCAAACUUGCAAAUAUAAGGUGACUAUGAUAUGGUUAUGUAAUUAGAAUAUGAUGACUAAAAGAUAAAAUGUAAGUUUUGUACUUUGAUUGGAUUGUGAUCCUUAUUCAAAUUGUGUUGUAUGCUAUUGGCAUAGGCAUUCACAUUUUACUGAAGAAUAUAGUUUUUCUUUCGAAAAUCACUUCAAAAACACAAGUAAAUA